rnacentral:SRP_RNA from 2 species
GUCAGGCAUGGUGGCGAGUGCCUGUAGUCCUAGCUACUCAGGAAGCUGAGGUGGGAGGAUUGCUUGUGCCCAGGAGUUUGAGGUGGCAGUGAGCCUUGAUGAAGGAACUGUACUCCAGCCUGGGCAAAAGAGCAAGACUCCGUCUCUU